rnacentral:rRNA from 1 species
GCUGGCGGCGUGCUUAACACAUGCAAGUCAAGGGGGCCCAGCAAUGGGCAACCGGCGAACGGGUGCGUAACACGUGAGCAACCUACCGAACUGUGGGGGAUAGCCGGCCUAACGGCCGAGUAAUACCGCAUACGCUUUCUAAAAGGCAUUUUUUGGAAAGGAAACCUACGGGACAGAUCGAGGGGCUCGCGGCCUAUCAGCUAGUUGGCGAGGUAAUGGCUCACCAAGGCUACGACGGGUAGCUGGUCUGAGAGGAUGGCCAGCCACAUUGGGACUGAGAUACGGCCCAGACUCCUACGGGAGGCAGCAGUGGGGAAUCUUGCGCAAUGGCCUAACGGCUGACGCAGCGACGCCGCGUGUGGGAUGAAGCUCCUCGGAGUGUAAACCACUGUUGCCCGGGACGAAUAGCUCGAUUAGUCGAGCCUGACGGUACCGGGUGAGGAAGCACCGGCUAACUCCGUGCCAGCAGCCGCGGUAAUACGGGGGGUGCGAGCGUUGUCCGGAAUCACUGGGCGUAAAGGGCGCGUAGGUGGUUUGAUAAGGGUGUGGUGAAAGCCC